rnacentral:rRNA from 2 species
GAAGUCUGAUGGAGCAUGCCGCGUGAGUGAAGAAGGGUUUCGGCUCGUAAAACUCUGUUGUUAAAGAAGAACACCUUUGAGAGUAACUGUUCAAGGGUUGACGGUAUUUAACCAGAAAGCCACGGCUAACUACGUGCCAGCAGCCGCGGUAAUACGUAGGUGGCAAGCGUUGUCCGGAUUUAUUGGGCGUAAAGCGAGCGCAGGCGGUUUUUUAAGUCUGAUGUGAAAGCCUUCGGCUUAACCGGAGAAGUGCAUCGGAAACUGGGAGACUUGAGUGCAGAAGAGGACAGUGGAACUCCAUGUGUAGCGGUGGAAUGCGUAGAUAUAUGGAAGAACACCAGUGGCGAAGGCGGCUGUCUAGUCUGUAACUGACGCUGAGGCUCGAAAGCAUGGGUAGCGAACAGGAUUAGAUACCCUGGUAGUCCAUGCCGUAAACGAUGAGUGCUAAGUGUUGGAGGGUUUCCGCCCUUCAGUGCUGCAGCUAACGCAUUAAGCACUCCGCCUGGGGAGUACGACCGCAAGGUUGAAACUCAAAGGAAUUGACGGGGGCCCGCACAAGCGGUGGAGCAUGUGGUUUAAUUCGAAGCUACGCGAAGAACCUUACCAGGUCUUGACAUCUUCUGCCAAUCUUAGAGAUAAGACGUUCCCUUCGGGGACAGAAUGACAGGUGGUGCAUGGUUGUCGUCAGCUCGUGUCGUGAGAUGUUGGGUUAAGUCCCGCAACGAGCGCAACCCUUAUUAUCAGUUGCCAGCAUUCAGUUGGGCACUCUGGUGAGACUGCCGGUGACAAACCGGAGGAAGGUGGGGAUGACGUCAAAUCAUCAUGCCCCUUAUGACCUGGGCUACACACGUGCUACAAUGGACGGUACAACGAGUUGCGAAGUCGUGAGGCUAAGCUAAUCUCUUAAAGCCGUUCUCAGUUCGGAUUGUACG